AUGAACGCUGGCGGCGUGCCUUAGGCAUGCAAGUCGAACGGAGAGCAGCAAUGCUUCAGUGGCAGACGGGUGAGUAACGCGUAGGAAUCUAUCUCUAGGCGGAGCAUAGCCCUCGAAAAGAGGGGGUAAUUCUCCAUAGUUCCCGCAAAGGGUAAAGGACUUAACGGUCCACCAAGAGAGGAGCCUGCGUCCUAUCAGCUAGUUGGUGAGGUAAUGGCUUACCAAGGCAAUGACGGGUAGCUGGACUGAGAGGUCGAUCAGCCACAACUGCACUGAGACACGGGCCAGUACAUCUACGGAUGGCAGCAACCAGGAAUAUUGCGCGCAAUGGACGAAGAAGUCUGACGCAGCGACGCCGCGUGGAGGAAGACGGCUCUUCGGGUUGUAAACUCCUUUUGCCAAGGCGUUCACAGCUUGGAGAAUAAGCCUCUACUAACUACGUGCCAGAGAGUCUCGGUAAUACGUAGGAGGCAAGCGUUAUCCGGAAUCACUGGGCGUAAAGUGUGCGUAGGCGUUCUGCUAAAGUCUUCACUUAAAGACCAAGGCUUACCCUUGGAUAGUGGUGGAGAUACUCACAGAAUAUUGAGGAUUGGUUGGGGAAGCUGGAACAGUUAGGUGUAGCAGUGAUAAUGCGUUGAUAUUAACUGGAACACCAAGGGCGAAGGCAGGCUUCUGAACUUUUCCUGACGCGAUGAGGCACGAAAGCUAGGGUAGCGAAACAGAUUAGAUACCUGUGUAGUCCUAGCCGUAAACGAUAUGUCCGCUAACUUUUGCUAGUUUACUAGCAGGGUGUACAAGCUAACGCACUUAAGCGGAUCCGCCUGGGGAGUACGACCGCAAGGUUAAACUCAAAGGAAUUGACGGGGACCCGCAGCAAUUCUGGUGGAGCGUGUGGUUUAAUUCGAGACGAAGCGAAAGAACCCUUACCAAGGCUUGACAUGCUAACGUUCUAUCCGUAGAAUAAUGGGAAAAUGCGCAAGCAGGUAGCACAGGUGCUGCAUGGCUGUCGUCAGCUGCGUGCCGUGAGGUGUUCCCUUAAGUGGGGGAAACGAGCGCAACCCCCGUGAAAUGUUACAUAUUCAUUUCAGACAGCUCCGAUUAUAUCGGGGAGGAAGGAGGGGAAGACGUCAAGUCGCGGCACGGGCCCUUAUGCCUUGGGUUACACACACCCUACAAUGGCGAAAAAACAAUGGGCAGCAAGCUAGCAAUAGCAAGCUAAUCCCACAAAUUUCGCCUCAGUUCAGAUUGGGGCGCUGCAACCCGCCCCACAUGAGGCGGAAUCAGUAGUAAUCGCGGAUUCAGAAGGCCGCGGUGAAUACGUUCUCGGGUCUUGUACAUCACCGCCCCGUCAAGGCAGCCAAGUUGGGAGUGGAUGAAGGCAUCCCGUAAGGGGUCGAGUCCAAGCUUAGCGAUGAGCUU
rnacentral:rRNA from 1 species